rnacentral:rRNA from 1 species
CAGCAGCCGCCGCGGUAAUACGGAGGGUGCAAGCGUUAAUCGGAAUUACUGGGCGUAGAGCGCACGCAGGCGGUUUGUUAAGUCAGAUGUGAAAUCCCCGAGCUUAACUUGGGAACUGCAUUUGAAACUGGCAAGCUAGAGUCUUGUAGAGGGGGGUAGAAUUCCAGGUGUAGCGGUGAAAUGCGUAGAGAUCUGGAGGAAUACCGGUGGCGAAGGCGGCCCCCUGGACAAAGACUGACGCUCAGGUGCGAAAGCGUGGGGAGCAAACAGGAUUAGAUACCCGGGUAGUCCCUGUCUCUUAUAC